rnacentral:rRNA from 1 species
CUUACACAUGCAGUCGAGCGGAGUGAUGGUGCUUGCACUAUCACUUAGCGGCGGACGGGUGAGUAAUGCUUAGGAAUCUGCCUAUUAGUGGGGGACAACAUUUCGAAAGGAAUGCUAAUACCGCAUACGCCCUACGGGGGAAAGCAGGGGACCUUCGGGCCUUGCGCUAAUAGAUGAGCCUAAGUCAGAUUAGCUAGUUGGUGGGGUAAAGGCCUACCAAGGCGACGAUCUGUAGCGGGUCUGAGAGGAUGAUCCGCCACACUGGGACUGAGACACGGCCCAGACUCCUACGGGAGGCAGCAGUGGGGAAUAUUGGACAAUGGGGGAAACCCUGAUCCAGCCAUGCCGCGUGUGUGAAGAAGGCCUUUUGGUUGUAAAGCACUUUAAGCGAGGAGGAGGCUACUUAGAUUAAUACUCUAGGAUAGUGGACGUUACUCGCAGAAUAAGCACCGGCUAACUCUGUGCCAGCAGCCGCGGUAAUACAGAGGGUGCGAGCGUUAAUCGGAUUUACUGGGCGUAAAGCGUGCGUAGGUGGUCUUUUAAGUCGGAUGUGAAAUCCCUGAGCUUAACUUAGGAAUUGCAUUCGAUACUGGGAGACUAGAGUAUGGGAGAGGAUGGUAGAAUUCCAGGUGUAGCGGUGAAAUGCGUAGAGAUCUGGAGGAAUACCGAUGGCGAACGCAGCCAUCUGGCCUAAUACUGACACUGAGGCACGAAAGCAUGGGGAGCAAACAGGAUUAGAUACCCUGGUAGUCCAUGCCGUAACGAUGUCUACUAGCCGUUGGGGUCUUUGAGACUUUAGUGGCGCAGCUA